UUGAACUCAGCUUUUCUCAUUUUCAACUUCUCUCUCUUCUUUCUCCCUCAUAAGAAAUGAAUAUUGAUUUUCCUCGUUCUGCUGAGUCUGCAGUCCUUGCUAGCAUGUAAUUGCUAUAAACACUUUCACUAGAGCUGGCUAAGAAAACGCCAGCAAACCAAUUUUGAUCGGAAUUUGCCAGCUUGUUGAAAGCAAGACAUCUUGGAGGCAGAUGCUCUUUGUUGUGCGGGGACGACAAGGAGGCAGAGCCUGGCCCCUUGCCAUGGGCAGCCCAGCCCUGCCACCUCUCUCACCAUGCCUCUGGGGAGAGCCCCAGCUCUGCUUCAGAGAGAAAAGGGAGCAUUGGUUCUUGUUCCACACUGAGACCAAGCUGAACCCAGGAACCCUGGAAGUUCUGCAGAAAGGAAUUCCCGUCCUCUGCCAAGGCUCAGCAUCAUGUUAUGACUUCUGAUGUUGAAUGCAAACGUACAAAAUACUGUAUUUUUCAGAAAAGGCUGUAAUUUUCUUGUAAUUGGCAAGUUAUGGUCUCCUUGUACUUGUUUUGCGUAUCAGGUUAUUUUUCAGUGUCGAGGCCAAUUUUGUUUCAGCCUCCCCUCUCACCACCGACUUAAGAGUUGUUCCUGGCACCAGGGGACCUUUACAGCGCGGUGCUGGCCGCACGCGUGAGGCUGUUCUGAUAGCAGGAACUGGAGCCGAAACAGCUCGCUGUUUACAUGAAACUAAAAGUUAAUUCCUUAGCAUCAGCACCGGCCUCUGUGCUUGAGGCUGUGUGCGUGCCUAUCUACAGGGACACCACGGGCUGACCGUGGCUCGCUCCUCUAGGAAAAUGUUUCCUUCGCUUCUGCAGAGAAAGGAAUCAACGCGCGUGAGUCAAGGCACGGCCUGUGGGCUUGCUGUGGCAGCGUGGGAUCGACUGACCUGCAGAGGCUCCAUCAGCAUCACUGCCGCAGUCAGAUAAGCAGUCAGUAAGAUUUGUUGGCUGAUUUCGAUGACACUUUACCCAACAGGACAAGCCCCAGACUGCUGCCAGUACUGCCUGCAUCAUUGCGGCUAGGUUUAAAAGUUGAAUAAUACCUCAGGCCUUCCUGUUCUUCCAUUUCCCGUUAGCUGGAAGAGGAGUAAACCAGGCUAUUCAGUAAGCGCUGUUAACCGCGAGGUGACCUGGUCUUUAAUCUGACCUUUUAACUCCAUGGGUGGGUUUGGCUCCAAGCCUGCCUUAUGCCUGAGUUGCCAAAUUCAAAGAAACAGGUGGAGUUGGACUAUAAGGUGUUUAUUCGUGUUGUGCUGGAAUUCUUUUGCUUUGCCUGAGGCUCUACUUGAGAGGUCUUCAGAGUUAACAAUGCUAUUCCAUUCUUGCCUGAAACAUUUUGUUCUUACAUUUCUCUCCUGUCAGUUGGAAUUAGAGGAACCAGAAAUGUUGUCCCUGUCUAAAUACAGAGCUAAAAGUAAUUCCAUGUUCUGUGAUGCUCGGAGCAUUUCUUUCUGCUUGUGUUGUGUGAAAGAUAUUCAAGAGUGAAGAAAAUACUAGCACCCUUAACAGAGACCCUUUACUGAGCUUUUGUGAAACCUACACGAGGAGAAGGGUCUUGUUCACAGACGUGACAACAGAGGCAAAGUGUACACCACCUCAACGGGAAAACAAUCCACCAAAUACAGGGCAUACAGGAAGGAAACUAGGAAAAACAGGAGAUGGAUGUUUUAUUUUGUGUGUGUGUGCACCACAACAGGUUAUGUUUAUAUCAGAGGGAAGUGCUCUGCACAGUAUGGCCCACAGUUCUUGCCCCCUUGCUGUCCCCAUAUGAAGACCCCCUGGAUCAUGCUGUAGCUCCUUUCUGUCCUGUGCUCUGGAGAUUAGUUCCCUUGGAAACCAAACACACAUUUACACAAUUACUACAUGCAACAAGUAUAAUAGCAAUUAUUCUUUAAAUUGUACUGAACUAGGUAUUUUCAUUUUAUUGUUGGAAGAGGUAUUGUGUAACAUAUUACUCUAUUGUACAUAUAUCUACAGCAACUCUAAUCUUCUAGGCUUUUAUCGUUAUGCUAAAGAGCAGUGUAAGAGGAGGAUGUCCACAUCUCUGAAGUUUUAUUCCAAACUCUUCCUCUCUAAACAAAAAUAUUUUCAUUUUUGGUGAUAAAUCCCACUUGUGAUCAGUUAUCGUAUUUGUAUAAACAUUUUUAAACAUUAACAAAAUGCUGACGGAAUGAUAUUCCCAGUGUAGAGUCCAAAAUAGAAUAAAUAAUACAUAAUUUAAAAAUCUGGCAUACUUAUAAUUUAAAAAAUAAAAAGGAAUCACAUUCUGUUAAAACAUUUCAAUUGCAGCUUUUCUGCAAUUUUAGAAAUUUUCUUUUCUCACCCUAGAUUUGGGCAAUGAUCAGUGAUCACUUGUUCUGGAAGAAGUUGUUUCCAUCCUUUCCGCUGAAAAUUGAAGUGUUUUCAAGAACGUCACAGGAAAAUUUAAAUGGCACAGCAGCAAAUGGUAUUAGAUUCUGAUGCUAUCAAAGAAAGAGCGAGUGGUGAUUAGGGUGCCUGGAGUGAUGCCUGAACAUGGCAUGGAAACUGCAGCACUCAAACCAAACAGGGACCCGACUGAGGGUUUUUUUGGACAACAUAACACAGAAUGCUGUUCACGUCUUCUAUUGUAACUAAUUCUAUAUGCUUGAAACAAACUUCUUAUGAUUUUCUAAGAGCCGGUGACUGGAAUACUCUGGGCAGAGUAUUCUGUUAUUCUUUCCGUUGUCUGAAGCACACACAUUAUGCUGUACAUUUUCCAAAAAAAAAGCUAUUUUCUGUCUUGAAAGAAAUAUCGAUAGCAAAUCAGGUUUCAUUAAUGAUACCCUCCCCCUUUAAUAAAUAUUUGUGUCUAUGA